rnacentral:rRNA from 1 species
UACGAAGGGGGCUAGCGUUGUUCGGAAUUACUGGGCGUAAAGCGCGUGUAGGCGGGUCUUUAAGUCAGGGGUGAAAUGCCAAGGCUCAACCCUUGGAACUGCCUUUGAUACUGGAGAUCUUGAGUCCGGGAGAGGUGAGUGGAAUUGCGAGUGUAGAGGUGAAAUCGUAGAUAUUCGCAGAACACCAGUGGCGAAGGCGGCUCACUGGCCCGGAACUCGACCGCUGAGACGCGAAAGCGUGGGGAGCAAA